AAGACUGUGCUUCACAGGAUCAUUUCUGUAGGCAAGUUUUCACCACAAGUUUUUUCCGAAAGGAAAAGAUUUCCCACCCACGAUGAGGAGAUGUAGUGUCCAGUCUGGAGCGUGAAACUUGGUCGGGAUUUGACUCAUCUGAUUCAGAUGGAUCGCCCUUCCUUUGAAGAUCGGCUCUCUUGCAAGGCUUGGACGCAUUCUGAGUGGU
rnacentral:snoRNA from 1 species